AUCGGACAGGAAAGACAAGGAUAGUGUUAUAAAGUGUACACAAUAGAGAUAUAUUAUCGCAUAUAUUUUAAUGUUCUUUUUUGAGAAAAUACGUAUACUUAUAUUGCAACUCGAUAUAUUUUAGCUACAUGGGUAACGAGAUUCGGCAUUAUCACGACAUUCGCUAUAAAAUAUAUGUAUAUUGGGAAAGAAAAGAUUUAAGAUUUAUUGCUACCUCCAACAACAGACAGAGAACGUGCGCCUCAACUGAUAGACGUGAUAACGCCAAAUCGCUGGUUCUUCACGCCGUUUUACGUAUAAUCUAUAUAUGUAUUAUAUACAUAUACUCGAACAUAUACAACAAACGGAGACUAUCUCUUCCAUAGCAUUUACGUGUUCGGCUUAACGCGACAGGGUGCACCUAGCGGUUCAGCCCGUGUACAUGCCGAGUCAGAGGUUCGCACGAGGGGAAGUAUGCAACGGAAUGGACGAGGGAGGUACUGACCUAGUGCAAGUGGCCGAGAUGCAUGACCCGAAUACCGGCGCUGUACAGGUGUGCGCUGGCAGUGUGUCCCACUGGCCUCUACCCCCUUCAAGGCACGAAGUGGCUUCAAACGCACCGCCGGAGGUCGAGGGAAGAAGUACGAAGUUCCCAAGGGACGAAAAUGUCGUCGAUCCUUCACGCGAUAUCGGUAUUAAGGUCCUACAUCUGUAAUUGGGCACGGAAAUGUGCUCAUCGCGAAACCACCCUUCGAUGAGCCGGCACCGACCUCCAUCCUUAAUCGAAUAGAACAACCUAUUACGUAACUGAAGCAACUCAUCAAGAUUACAACAGCUGGCUGUAAUCUCUCAAUGACGAUACGCGUGGUCGCGUAGAUUUAUCGCGUAACUAUACGCUUCUGGUUGUGACAUCGAUAUCUAGAAUGCACAAGAAUAUACUGUUUUAUUCCUGGUACUGUAA